rnacentral:lncRNA from 1 species
CGGGCUGGCGCUGAGGGCCUGGGAGGCGAGGCCUAGGCUCGGGGAGGAGGCGGCGGCGGUGGCCCGCUCGGUUCCUGAAGGGCCAGGGCCGACCUAGAGCUUUGGCCAAGCCCCAGGCCUGCAAAUCCCAGAGCCCAGCCAGGUAGGGUGCGAGGGGCGCGGUUAUGGCCCCCCAGGACAGGCAGGAACGUCUCCUGGCCCUCACUGCCUGGUCUCGGCCCUGCAGUGGGGGUUAAGAGCAGCUUGUCUUAGUCUGGGGCAGAGCCGCCCGCCUGAAGGAGGAGCCCAUGCUGGGGGCCACCAAGUACCCUGGCAGGUUUGCUCAGGAAGCUGUCGUUGGGGUCACGGGGUCUGAAAGGGGAGCUGGGUCGGGCUUGGUCAGCAGAGGGGCUCCUGGACCCGGAGGGCGGCCGUUUCUCAGGGCCGGGCCGAGUCUGGAACUUGGAGGUGGGGAAGCGUCUCCCAGGACCGGCCCUGUCAGCCCUCCUGCACCCUCCUGCUGCCCUGACCUUCUCCCCGCUCCGCUCCGUGACAUAGACCCGGCCCUACUGUGUGCAGGAGCGCUUGGGGCCUUCCCCAAACCCGCCAGGGGCACACCUCAGCUCCGAAGCCCGAACCCCGCACGGGGCAGGGGCAGCCGCGGCAGAUCCCUGCCCCCCAGGUCUCUCCCCUGAGAGCAGUGACUGCCGCGGUCCCUACAGCUUUGUGUACAGCUGGAAUCUGGAAGAGCAGCAGAGGAAGGGGAACUCUUCUCAUUUUCCAAAACGAUCCAACGAUUGUUCCAGAACCGUUUUUCGAGCGCUGAGCUGCCUUGCGAACUUCUAGAUCGGCUUAAAGACGACGCAAUGUUGGGAUUGCCCAGGAAAUGGGAGCUGGGGCGAAGGAGAAACGCCAGAUCCCUGGCCCUGGGGACCAGGGCACCAGAUCCAGACCUCCCAGCCUAUCCUGUGUGCUCUGGGGCUGCCCCGGCAGAUGGCAGGUUCCUCCAAAGAAGUUAUAUGGACAAAAUUAAUCAGGAAGGCUACCGAAGACAUAAGCAACAUAAUCAGUAAGGGGCCGGCCCAGUGGCUCAGGGGUUAAGUUCCCACGUUCCACUUCUGGCAGCCUGGGGUUCGCCGGUUCGGAUCCUGGGUGUGGACAUGGCACCGCUUGGCAAAAGCCAUGCUGUGGUAGGUGUCCCACAUAUAAAAUAGAGGAAGAUGGGCACGGAUGUUAGCUCAGGGCCAGUCUUCCUCAGAAAAAACAGGAGGAUUGGCAGUAGUUAGCUCAGGGCUAAUCUUCCUCAAAAAAAAAAAAAAAGUCUUUCCAUUUGGAAAUUUAAAAAGACCUCUUUAUUACAUAAUUAGGAAGAAUAUAACUAAAAUUGAAGAAAUUCUAAAAAUUAAUGAUAAUGGAAACACUAUGUACCAGAAUCUAUUGGAAACAAUUACAGAAAGAAAAGAUCACAGCUUUAAAUACUUUUAUCCAAUAAAAAUUUCAAAAUGAAAAUAGGUAAAUG